UACGUAGGGGGCUAGCGUUGUCCGGAAUCAUUGGGCGUAAAGCGCGCGUAGGCGGCCCGGUAAGUCCGCUGUGAAAGUCCAGGGCUCAACCCUGGAAAGCCGGUGGAUACUGCCGGGCUAGAGUCCGGAAGAGGCGAGUGGAAUUCCUGGUGUAGCGGUGGAAUGCGCAGAUAUCAGGAGGAACACCAAUAGCGAAGGCAGCUCGCUGGGACGGUACUGACGCUGAGGUGCGAAAGCGUGGGGAGCGAACAGG
rnacentral:rRNA from 1 species